rnacentral:sRNA from 1 species
UAUUCUGCCCCACGGGGAAGGAUGAGAAGCUUCGACCAAGGUUCGACUCGAGCGAAGCGAGAGAACGUUGCCGCAGGCAACGGCCCGAAGGGCGAGGCGCUUUAGCGCCGAGUAAUCCUUCCCCCACCAUCA